UAGAGGAUGAGCUGACCAAUCAACGCUCUACUUGUGUGAAUAUUUUAAUGACCAGUGUACACCCACACAGAAUAGCUGCUUUUUAACAUAGCUUCCCUUCCAAUAUUGUUUAUUUAACUAUUUCACUCUCAUUUUGUAAGUAGUUAUAUUUCAUAGAAAUCUGGAAACACUAGACACUUACUUUAAGUUAUAUUUUACUCCAAUAUGAGUCACGAGUCCCCUUUGGCACAUUGGAGUUGGUUGUGUGACCUUCUGACGAUCGGUGAAGGGAAGUUGGUGUUCUUUCUUAUGACAAAAGAGAUGAAAAUCUUUGAAUCGGUUCCUGUGUUUGUUUAGCCCUCCAUGCACUUUCCAUUCGGCACCCUCUCCUGAAGACACGCACUCUGUCUGACGGGAGCAGGAAGGCCAAAGGGAAAGCCAUGAGAAGCGCGGAGUUUAUCCAGCCGGUAAAGGAGAGGCCAUGGACAGACUCUGCGGUGGCCCGGAGAAUGAUGACCACAGCCCUGGGGCUGCGGAGAGGUGGAGCGCUCUCACAACAUUUCUGACCGCUACAGCAGGACCAUGCCUCAGGAGUACCUGGCCUGAUUCCGCCUUGCUGUCCCCAGUCCACCUGGUCGUGCUGCUGUUUCAGUGUCUGUCUGUCUGUCUGUCUGUCUGUCUGUCUGUCUGUCUGUCUGUCUGUCUGUCUGUCUGUCUGUGCGUGCACGUGGGUGUGUAUCCUAGGUCCAAAUACAUUUAAAGGAUCCCCAAACACAUAAUGAAAUUUUCAUGUAAACUGCCAUUAAAAGGGGCAUUAGUACACAAUCAUCAAAAUCACACAAUUACUGUGCAAAAUAGUUCUAUCAGCCCAGUCCAAUUUCCAGUCAUUAAACUCUCCCACCCAUCAACCCAGUUCUUCCAUGAUUCAUAAAUACUUUCCAGACAUAUAUCACCACUGCCAGUGGCAUUCAGCAGUUGUUAGUACACUGCAAAUUAGAGAAAGUCUCUCAAACUGUAGAACCACAAGAAAAAAUGUAUGAAGAACGCAGAUAGUGCUUUCCUUUCGGUGUGUAUCGAGGUGCUUUCCUUAGAGAGGUGUAUCACACUGUGGGACUAAAGACAGCUCUUGAAUCACCCUUUAAAUACAACAAAAAAUCAAAAUAGCAGCACUAAUCAGCAGAUAAGCGUACCUACCCUACAUACAGUUUGCUGAUGGUUGUAGGCCAAUUAAACUUCAAAGAGCAGGAAUGAACUCCCCACCAUCAAAUGUAGCCUGUAGCCUUUCCUCACUCCAUCACCUCAGUUAGUGUGGAGACUAUAAGCUGUAAAGUCAGUGUGGAGACUAUAAGUGUUAAGUCAGUGUGGAGACUAUAAGUGUUAAGUCAGUGUGGAGACUAUAAGUGUUAAGUCAGUGUGGAGACUAUACGUGUUAAGUCCGUGUGGAGACUAUAAGCUGUAAGGUCAGUGUGGAGACUAUAAGCUGUAAGGUCAGUGUGGAGACUAUAAGUGUUAAGUCAGUGUGGAGACUAUAAGUGUUAAGUCAGUGUGGAGACUAUAAGCUGUAAGGUCAGUGUGGAGACUAUAAACUGUAAGGUCAGUGUGGAGACUAUAAG